GGGGAAUUUUGGACAAUGGGGGCAACCCUGAUCCAGCCAUGCCGCGUGAGUGAAGAAGGCCUUCGGGUUGUAAAGCUCUUUCGGCGGGGAAGAAAUGGCAACGGCUAAUAUCCGUUGUUGAUGACGGUACCCGCAUAAGAAGCACCGGCUAACUACGUGCCAGCAGCCGCGGUAAUACGAAGGGGGCUAGCGUUGCUCGGAAUCACUGGGCGUAAAGCGCACGUAGGCGGAUCGUUAAGUCAGGGGUGAAAUCCUGGGGCUCAACCUCAGAACUGCCCUUGAUACUGGCGAUCUCGAGUUCGAGAGAGGUUGGUGGAACUCCGAGUGUAGAGGUGAAAUUCGUAGAUAUUCGGAAGAACACCAGUGGCGAAGGCGGCCAACUGGCUCGAUACUGACGCUGAGGUGCGAAAGCGUGGGGAGCAAACA
rnacentral:rRNA from 1 species